rnacentral:rRNA from 1 species
UACGUAGGGACCAAGCGUUGUCCGGAAUUAUUGGGCGUAAAGAGCUCGUAGGCGGUUUGUCGCGUCUGCUGUGAAAACUCGGGGCUCAACUCCGAGCUUGCAGUGGGUACGGGGCAGACUAGAGUGCGGGUAGGGGAGACUGGAAUUCCUGGUGUAGCGGUGGAAUGCGCAGAUAUCAGGAGGAACACCGGGUGGCGAAGGCGGCAUCCUGGACCGGUAUUGACACUGGAGGCGCGAAAGCCAGGGGAGCAAACAG